ensembl:lncRNA
GGCUGCGUGAACUACUGACGCUGUACGUCCUGUCUGAGAAAGGAGAAAUAACUUGACGUUACGUUACAUUUUUAUAUGAAGGUAAAUUAUAAGUUUAUCAUGGUGAGUGAAGCUUAGACUAAGCAGUAUAACCAGUAACCAGUUUCGAUAAUAAUUGUUUCGAGCGAGAGCUCAUUAGAUCCACGUUGUCACUGUGGGUUCAUUUUUGGAAUCCUGUUUAAGCAUUCCAACUAUUGUUCUUUAUUCUUUUCUUCCUCUUUUUCUAUUUUGCCUCUUCUCCUUCAGAUUUUCACCUAUUAAAACCGUUCAAAUAAUAAAAUAUUCAGCUCCUGCUAUGACUUUUCAGCUUUCUAUUUCUUAUGCUCCGUUCACACCAAAAGCGAAGCGAAUUUUCGCCACGCUUCACUCGCGCGAGUUUACUCGCCCGACUAGUGGUUAUUUCGCUUCAUUCGCUUGUUUCCGUAAAGACAGCAGGCUCUAAGACAGUGAAAUCCACAGCAACCACUACCAGAGGUCGUGUGGCCAAAAAUGACUUCAUAGGAGCAUGUAUCUUAGGUUGUGGUAUUUUGGACUGGUUCUCUCAAACAGUUGGGUAACAGGAGCUGAUGUGACAUUCACCCACAUGGACAUCAUCAAUCACACGGUAGAGUAAACCAUCCAUCUCCUUGAUCCGGUGCCACUGCCUCAAUAAGGACAUGACAGGCUUGGUUAACCUUGUCCUCUCCUUACAGGUGGGUUUCUGCUUCUUUUCCCAGAACUGCCUAAAUGCAC